GAUGAACGCUGGCGGCGUGCCUAAUACAUGCCAGUCGAGCGAACAGACGAGGAGCUUGCUCCUCUGACGUUAGCGGCGGACGGGUGAGUAACACGUGGAUAACCUACCUAUAAGACUGGGAUAACUUCGGGAAACCGGAGCUAAUACCGGAUAACAUAUUGAACCGCAUGGUUCAAUAGUGAAAGACGGUUUUGCUGUCACUUAUAGAUGGAUCCGCGCCGCAUUAGCUAGUUGGUAAGGUAACGGCUUACCAAGGCGACGAUGCGUAGCCGACCUGAGAGGGUGAUCGGCCACACUGGAACUGAGACACGGUCCAGACUCCUACGGGAGGCAGCAGUAGGGAAUCUUCCGCAAUGGGCGAAAGCCUGACGGAGCAACGCCGCGUGAGUGAUGAAGGUCUUCGGAUCGUAAAACUCUGUUAUUAGGGAAGAACAAAUGUGUAAGUAACUAUGCACGUCUUGACGGUACCUAAUCAGAAAGCCACGGCUAACUACGUG
rnacentral:rRNA from 1 species